UGGAAAUUAUAAGGUGACUGGGGUCU
rnacentral:piRNA from 1 species